CCCUUAGAUGUUCUGGGCCGCACGCGCGCUACACUGAUGCAUUCAACGAGCCUAUCCUUGACCGACAGGUCCGGGUAAUCUUUGAAUCUGCAUCGUGACGGGGAUAGAUUAUUGCAAUUAUUAAUCUUCAACGAGGAAUGCCUAGUAGGCGCAAGUCAUCAGCUUGCGUCGAUUACGUCCCUGCCCUUUGUACACACCGCCCGUCGCUCCUACCGAUUGAGUGGUCCGGUGAGACUUUGGGAUCUGAGCGGAAAGAGCGUUUCGCUGUUUCUGCUCGGAAAACUCAGUCGAACCUUAUCAUUUAGAGGAAGGAGAAGUCGUAACA
rnacentral:rRNA from 1 species